AGUGAACGCUGGCGGUAGGCCUAAUACAUGCAAGUCGAACGGCCGCACGGUAAGAGUGCGCCCCUACGGUUGGCGGGGGGCGGGCGGGUGAGGAAUAGAUCGGAAUCUUCUUUGACGGGGGGAACAUCGGGGGGCAAGUGACACUAAUACAGCAUACUUUCAACGGCAGAAAGCAGAAGAGAAUGACACUCUUGCUGACUGAAUGAGCCGAUGCCGCAUUAGCUAGUUGGCGGGGUAAGGGCCCACCAAGGCGACGAUCCGUAGCUGGGCUGAGAGGAUGAUCGGCCACACUGGAACUGAGACACGGUCCAGACUCCUACGGGAGGCAGCAGUGGGGAAUCUUGCGCAAUGGGCGCAAGCCUGAUCCAGCCAUGCCGCGUGGGUGAAGAAGGUCUUCGGGUCGUAAAGCCCUUUUGUUGGGGAAGAACAUCAGCAUGUUAAUCCGCCGCUGUUCUGACGGUACCCAAAGAAUAAGCCCCGGCUAACUUCGUG
rnacentral:rRNA from 1 species